rnacentral:rRNA from 1 species
UACGGGGGGGGCAAGCGUUGUUCGGAAUUACUGGGCGUAAAGCGCACGUAGGCGGGUCGUUAAGUCAGGGGUGAAAUCCCGGAGCUCAACUCCGGAACUGCCUUUGAUACUGGCGAUCUAGAGGUCGAGAGAGGUGAGUGGAAUUCCGAGUGUAGAGGUGAAAUUCGUAGAUAUUCGGAGGAACACCAGUGGCGAAGGCGGCUCACUGGUCCGGUACUGACGCUGAGGUGCGAAAGCGUGGGGAGCAAACAGG